AGAGUUUGAUCCUGGCUCAGAAUGAACGCUGGCGGCGUGCUUAACACAUGCAAGUCGCACGAGAACGCUUUAGCUUGCUAGAGCUAGUAAAGUGGCGCACGGGUGAGUAACGCGUGGGUAAUCUACCCCUGAAUUUGGGAUAACAUUGCGAAAGCGAUGCUAAUACCGGAUAAUAUCAUAAUAAUUGCGAUUAUUAUGAUCAAAGGUGGCCUCUAUAUAUAAGCUACUUUUUAGAUGAGCCCGCGUACCAUUAGCUUGUUGGUAGGGUAAUGGCCUACCAAGGCGACGAUGGUUAGCUGGUCUGAGAGGAUGAUCAACCACACUGGAACUGACACACGGUCCAGACUCCUACGGGAGGCAGCAGUGAGGAAUUUUGCGCAAUGGGGGAAACCCUGACGCAGCAACGCCGCGUGAGUGAUGAAGGCCCUUGGGUCGUAAAGCUCUGUCAAGUGGGAAGAACCUACUUUAGGCCAAUACCCUGAAGUACUGACGGUACCACUGAAGGAAGCACCGGCUAACUCCGUGCCAGCAGCCGCGGUAAUACGGGGGGUGCAAGCGUUAUUCGGAAUUAUUGGGCGUAAAGGGCGCGUAGACGGUCUGGUAAGUCAGAUGUGAAAGCCCGGGGCUUAACACUGGAAGUGCAUUUGAUACUGCCUGGCUUGAGUAUGGGAGAGGGAAGUGGAAUUCCUGGUGUAGAGGUGAAAUUCGUAGAUAUCAGGAGGAACAUCGGUGGCGAAGGCGACUUCCUGGACCAAUACUGACGCUGAGGCGCGAAGGCGUGGGCAGCAAACAGGAUUAGAUACCCUGGUAGUCCACGCAGUAAACGGUGAUCACUAGGUGUAGCGGGCAUUGACCCCUGCUGUGCCGAAGUUAACGCAUUAAGUGAUCCGCCUGGGAAGUACGGCCGCAAGGCUAAAACUCAAAGGAAUUGACGGGGGCCCGCACAAGCGGUGGAGCAUGUGGUUUAAUUCGACGCAACGCGAAGAACCUUACCUGGACUUGACAUCCCGGGAAUCCUGUGGAAACACAGGAGUGCCCUUCGGGGAACCCGGUGACAGGUCUGCAUGGCUGUCGUCAGCUCGUGUCGUGAGAUGUUGGGUUAAGUCCCGCAACGAGCGCAACCCCUAUCUUUAGUUACCAUCAUUUAGUUGGGGACUCUAAAGACACUGCCCCGGUUAACGGGGAGGAAGGUGGGGAUGACGUCAAGUCCUCAUGGCCUUUAUGUCCAGGGCUACACACGUGCUACAAUGGUAUGUACAAAGAGUAGCGAUGCCGCGAGGCUCAGCCAAUCUCAUAAAGCAUAUCUCAGUUCGGAUUGGAGUCUGCAACUCGACUCCAUGAAGUUGGAAUCGCUAGUAAUCGUGGAUCAGCAUGCCACGGUGAAUACGUUCCCGGGCCUUGUACACACCGCCCGUCACACCAUGAGAGUUGGUUGUACCAGAAGUUGUUGGGCCAGCCCCUUUAGGGGAGGUAGGCACCGAAGGUAUGGCUGAUAAUUGGGGUGAAGUCGUAACAAGGUA
rnacentral:rRNA from 1 species